rnacentral:rRNA from 1 species
AACGAACGCUGGCGGCAUGCCUAACACAUGCAAGUCGAACGCUCCGCAAGGGGAGUGGCGCACGGGUGAGUAACACGUGGGAACCUGCCUAUCGGUUCGGAACAACGUCUGGAAACGGACGCUAAUACCGGAUAUUCCCUCAGGGGGAAAGAUUUAUCGCCGAUAGAGGGGCCCGCGUCCGAUUAGGUAGUUGGUGGGGUAACGGCCUACCAAGCCGACGAUCGGUAGCUGGUCUGAGAGGAUGAUCAGCCACACUGGGACUGAGACACGGCCCAGACUCCUACGGGAGGCAGCAGUGGGGAAUAUUGGACAAUGGGCGCAAGCCUGAUCCAGCAAUGCCGCGUGAGUGAUGAAGGCCUUAGGGUUGUAAAGCUCUUUCGCACGUGACGAUGAUGACGGUAACGUGAGAAGAAGCCCCGGCUAACUUCGUGCCAGCCGCCGCAGUAAAAC